ACUGGAGGGAGGGGUCCCUCAGCCCAGAUUGUGAAAGGGCACAGGCCAGGCCAAGGGACCCCACCGGUGCACG
rfam:Myotis davidii contig104139, whole genome shotgun sequence.